AAUCCAUAGGUUAAUGAGGCGAACCGGGGGAACUGAAACAUCUAAGUACCCCGAGGAAAAGAAAUCAACCGAGAUUCCCCCAGUAGCGGCGAGCGAACGGGGAGGAGCCCAGAGCCUGAAUCAGCAUGUGUGUUAGUGGAAGCGUCUGGAAAGGCGCGCGAUACAGGGUGACAGCCCCGUACACAAAAGCGCAUGUGCUGUGAGCUCGAUGAGUAGGGCGGGACACGUGGUAUCCUGUCUGAAUAUGGGGGGACCAUCCUCCAAGGCUAAAUACUCCUGACUGACCGAUAGUGAACCAGUACCGUGAGGGAAAGGCGAAAAGAACCCCGGCGAGGGGAGUGAAAAAGAACCUGAAACCGU
rnacentral:rRNA from 186 species